rnacentral:rRNA from 1 species
GACGAACGCUGGCGGCGUGCUUAACACAUGCAAGUCGAACGGAAAGGCCCUGCUUUUGUGGGGUGCUCGAGUGGCGAACGGGUGAGUAACACGUGAGUAACCUGCCCUUGACUUUGGGAUAACUUCAGGAAACUGGGGCUAAUACCGGAUAGGAGCUCCUGCUGCAUGGUGGGGGUUGGACAGUUUCGGCGGUUGGGGAUGGACUCGCGGCUUAUCAGCUUGUUGGUGGGGUAGUGGCUUACCAAGGCUUUGACGGGUAGCCGGCCUGAGAGGGUGACCGGCCACAAUGGGACUGAGAUACGGCCCAGACGCCUACGGGAGGCAGCAGUGGGGAAUAUGGCACAAUGGGCGGAAGCCUGAUGCAGCAACGCCGCGUGCGGGAUGACGGCCUUCGGGUUGUAAACCGCUUUCGCCUGUGACGAAGCGUGAGUGACGGUAAUGGGUAAAGAAGCACCGGCUAACUACGUG